rnacentral:rRNA from 1 species
UACGUAGGGGGCAAGCGUUGUCCGGAUUUAUUGGGCGUAAAGAGCGUGUAGGCGGCCUGACAGGUCUGCUGUGAAAACUCGAGGCUCAACCUCGAGAUGUCGGCGGAAACCGUCUGGCUAGAGUCCGGAAGAGGAGAGUGGAAUUCCUGGUGUAGCGGUGAAAUGCGCAGAUAUCGGGAGGAACACCGGUGGCGAAGGCGGUUCUCUGGGCCUGACCUGACGCUGAGGAGCGAAAGCGUGGGGAGCGAACAGG